rnacentral:rRNA from 1 species
AGUGAACGCUGGCGGUAGGCCUAACACAUGCAAGUCGAACGGCAGCACAGGAGAGCUUGCUCUCUGGGUGGCGAGUGGCGGACGGGUGAGGAAUACAUCGGAAUCUACUCUGUCGUGGGGGAUAACGUAGGGAAACUUACGCUAAUACCGCAUACGACCUACGGGUGAAAGCAGGGGAUCUUCGGACCUUGCGCGAUUGAAUGAGCCGAUGUCGGAUUAGCUAGUUGGCGGGGUAAAGGCCCACCAAGGCGACGAUCCGUAGCUGGACUGGGAGGAUGAUCAGCCACACUGGAACUGAGACACGGUCCAGACUCCUACGGGAGCCAGCAGUGGGGAAUAUUGGACAAUGGGCGCAAGCCUGAUCCAGCCAUACCGCGUGGGUGAAGAAGGCCUUCGGGUUGUAAAGCCCUUUUGUUGGGAAAGAAAUCCAGCUGGCUAAUACCCGGUUGGGAUGACGGUACCCAAAGAAUAAGCACCGGCUAACUUCGUGCCAGCCGCCGCGGUAA